CUAAUUUUAUCCUUUUCUCAGUGCUGGCUGACAAUGACUCAGUCCCCGCUUGUCUGGGAGGACUCUCAGUACCUGGAUGCCCGGACACCCAAAUGAGCAUUGGAUCUCCCAUGCAUGGAGGGAAGGGCCUGCUGCCCACACACUGCUGUGGUCUGUCUUGGGUUUUUUUUUUUUUCACUGUUUGUGUAGAUAUGGAACAAAGAAUACCAGUGAAACACCCCACAAACAAGCUCAUCAGGCAGGACGGAGUAGGGAUGCAUGGGGCAUCAGCCACCUGUCCCAGUGUUUGACCAUCCUCAUGGGAGCUGCACGGAGCCUCCUCUUCUCCACACCAGACAAGUCCAGUUGGAUGAGACUCUUCUGGGUUUAAAAUUUCAGGUACUGGAAGAUUCAAUGUGCAGCUAAAUACUUUUCAUAAACAGGGCUGCAAGGAUCAGAGCAGCCAGCAUGAAAGCAUGGACUCUCCUUGUUUAUUUUGAGUCUCUGAACCAGGAAUGCGAGGAAGAGUUUAUAAGAAGAGCAAACAGCCAUGCAUCAUCCUGACCCAUUUAAAACCCGGCUGAGUUUCCUUUCCAGCAGCAUUUCAGUAGUGCAGCCCUCAAGCUCACUGAAAACAAGGUAAGCCAUAGGGUCAGUUUCCACAUCCUCCAAAGAUGCUGUAUUGAUUUAUGACAAUUUCAUAACUAAGAGCAUUCCAGCUGCUGUCAACAGACUGCAAUCCCUCUUAACCCACAAUAGCCCACCUAUAGCU
ensembl:lncRNA